CAGUCCCAGGCACCUGAACGAGUUACUGGAAUGCAUUUUUAUUUUAUUUUGGUUGGUCUGACUGUGAGCCCAGGCAAGGCACCUUUGUUUAUUUGGUAUAGAUUUCAAUCAAAGUCACUUUCCUGGAGUGGGAUCGGCAACAUCAGUGAGACACAGAGUUCUUUGAAACCAGCAGCUUGUUGACGCGAUUAAAGGAGAAGUUAGAAGGCGAGUAAACAGAACGGUGCCCAGCGGGCCUAGAAACGUCGGUGAAAUUAUCGAGGUUUGCCUAAUUUUUUACUGCUUGUAAAAACUUGUGUGGAGACGAACAUACAGAGAAUACAAUGUGAAAAAACACAACUUUUGCCAGAAAGGCCCAAUGAGCCCGUAACCUUGGCGAUGUCUCUGGAGGAAAAUCCGGCCAAUUGCAGCAGUCAUCAGCCAUCCAAUCAGCGGCUUUGAUAUUACAAGCCCAAAAUGACACAUUUGAAAGGCUAAAAUUAAGUAAUGUGCAACCAAUCUGAACAUAUCGGCAAGCCAGCAGCCGGCCCUUACAAAUUCAUGACUUUUCUAAGUCCUCUGUAAGUUUGUUUUUUGACCUCUGCAUGAUCUCAGAUCACACCUGAUGUAGGUCCAGUCACUCUGCAUCCAAACACCACGCUGAGAAGUCGGAGCAAUGAUGCUUUAAGGCAGAGAAGCCCGAUCAGACCAUGGAUGAGUCCCCUGGUCGCUGACAUCGUUUGCAAUCCCUUCUGACUGUGGGCCUUCUCAAAGCAUUACCUUCAAAAAAGUCAUGUGACAUGCCACAUUCCAUUAUGAAGUCAUGUGCAAAUCGUACUGCAUUAUGAAUACAAUUAGGAAAAGUGUUGUUUAGUUUAUAGUUACAAACAUGUUAACAAUAAAUCUAUUCAUCGGCUCAAGUAAUACUUAAAGCUCAAUAAAAUUUACUAUUUCAUUAAAGUCAAUAAAAAACAUGAAAACAGUAGCCUUCAUAUCAUAACAGGGCUAGAAUCAGUUAGAAUGGUCUUUAUUAUGGGUCUAACAUCAGACAUGAGGUCAUGUACAGUGCCAGUUUCCAGCAGACGACAUCCUGUUGAAAAUUAACAGACACUGUUAAUGUUCUCCAGGCAGGAGCACCUGAUCCGGAUCUCCUGCCACAAACCGUCAGUAUGAGAAAGUCCUGCUUGCAGGGAGACACACACAGGAGAGGCAGCAACUUCAAAGGCCUUAAUAUAUAAAAGCUGAACGUAAGCAAGAGGCCAGGCUCUUAGAGAUCUGGAAGAUGACAGAAAUCGAAUGUGACAGUAAAUAAACACUAUCAAACUCAGGUGACCAUAAUGGUAAAAAAAGAAAAUCAAGAUUGGUAGCUCUGUUAGUAACACUUUAGUUAAAGCUGCAUCUAGUAUAAUACAUGAUACAUACUUUCAUAAUCCAUUAUAAUGGUUGAUAUAAGAAUUUAUAAAGCAUUACAGCAUCUUCUAUUGAAGUCAUAAGGCAUUAUAGUGUUGAUUAUAAUACUUAAUAAGCUCGAAUGAACCUCUCAUUUGUAAUGCACUGUAGAUACAUUCAUAAUGUAUUAUAAUGGUUGGUAUAAGAAUUUAUAAAACAUUAUACCAUCUUCUGUUGACAGUCAUAAGGCAUUAUAGUGUUGAUUAUAAUACAUCAUAAGCUCAAAUGAAACUCUCAUCUGUAAUGCGCUGUAGAUACAUUCAUAAUGCAUUAUAAUGAUUGGUAUAAGAAUUUAUAAAGCAUCACAGCAUCUUCUA